UACGGGGGGGGCAAGCGUUGUUCGGAAUAACUGGGCGUAAAGGGCUCGUAGGCGGCCAACUAAGUCGGAUGUGAAAUCCCCAGGCUUAACCUGGGAACUGCAUCCGAUACUGGAUGGCUUGAAUCCGGGAGAGGGAUGCAGAAUUCCAGGUGUAGCGGUGAAAUGCGCAGAUAUCGGGAAGAACACCCGUGGCGAAGGCGGUUCUCUGGGACGGUACUUACGCUGAGACGCGAAAGCGUGGGGAGCGAACAGG
rnacentral:rRNA from 1 species